rnacentral:rRNA from 1 species
GACGAACGCUGGCGGCGUGCUUAACACAUGCAAGUCGAACGGAAAGGCCCUGCUUUUGUGGGGUGCUCGAGUGGCGAACGGGUGAGUAACACGUGAGUAACCUGCCCUUGACUUUGGGAUAACUUCAGGAAACUGGGGCUAAUACCGGAUAGGUGCUCCUGCUGCAUGGUGGGGGUUGGAAAGUUUCGGCGGUUGGGGAUGGACUCGCGGCUUAUCAGCUUGUUGGUGGGGUAGUGGCUUACCAAGGCUUUGACGGGUAGCCGGCCUGAGCGGGUGACCGGCGACAUUGGGACUGAGGUACGGCCCAGACUCCUACGGGAGGCAGCAGUGGGGAAUAUUGCGCAAUGGGCGGAAGCCUGAUGCAGCAACGCCGCGUGCGGAAUAACGGCCUUCGGGUUGUAAACCGCUUUCGCCUGUGACGAAGCGGGAGUGACGGUAAUGGGUAAAGAAGCACCGGCUAACUACGUG